rnacentral:rRNA from 1 species
CACUACAGCCAUGCUACCCUGAAUGUGCCCGAUCCUGUCUGAUCUCGGAAGCUAAGCAGGGCUGGGUCUGGUUGGUCCUUGGAUAGGAGACUACCUAGGAAUACCAAGUGCUGUAGGCG